rnacentral:lncRNA from 1 species
GGUAAUUGGCAGCUCGAGCUGCUAUCUUUCUGGCUUCGUCUUUAUCUUCAGGGAGCUCACCCUUCUCUAAGUAUUUUAGAUAAGGACUUAUCCAUGUUAGGCUCUGUUCCACCUGCAGUGUCGUGUUUGCCUUUUUGAAAGUAGGUGUACGGACAUGCUGUAUAUAUACUUCAUCGGGAAGCUGCUCUAGUUCUUCUCUAGACAACCGACUAAGCAGGUCUGCCUCCUCGUUUUCAUCCCGAGGUAUCCUUUGAAACCUGACGAUAACUCCCCGACCCGUAAG